rnacentral:rRNA from 1 species
GAUGAACGCUGACAGAAUGCUUAACACAUGCAAGUCAACUUGAAUUUGGGUUUUUAACUUAGGUUUGGGUGGCGGACGGGUGAGUAACGCGUAAAGAACUUGCCUCACAGCUAGGGACAACAUUUGUAAACGAAUGCUAAUACCUAAUAUUAUGAUAAUAGGGCAUCCUAUAAUUAUGAAAGCUAUAAGCGCUGUGAGAGAGCUUUGCGUCCCAUUAGCUAGUUGGAGAGGUAACGGCUCACCAAGGCGAUGAUGGGUAGCCGGCCUGAGAGGGUGAUCGGCCACAAGGGGACUGAGACACGGCCCUUACUCCUACGGGAGGCAGCAGUGGGGAAUAUUGGACAAUGGACCGAGAAUCUGAUCCAGCAAUUCUGUGUGCACGAUGAAGUUUUUCGGAAUGUAAAGUGCUUUCAGUUGGGAAGAAACAAAUGACGGUACCAACAGAAGAAGUGACGGCUAAAUACGUG